GGCAGCGUGGCAUAGUGGUUUGAGUGUUGGACUACGACUCUGGAGACCAGGGUUUGAUUCCCAUCUCAGUCA